UGUCGAUAGCGUAAAAGAAAAAAAAUUGUAUGGAGUUGGAACGUUUGCCUACGUUUGCUGCUAGGGGCGCUGUUCCAACUGCAUACAAAUUUGAGUUAACUUUUACGCUAUCGA
rnacentral:pre_miRNA from 9 species